AUGAAAUCCUGGGAGUCUAGCAGCACCCUGAGGGAACAGAUAUGCCUUGCUGAGUGCCGGUCGCUCAUACGGAGCCACCGCCUCUUUCGAGAUAAUCGCGAGCUCGCCUGGUGCGAGCCCUUGCUUCACAUACUCUCUGGCCGCGUAACCAGCUGAGACGCCGCCGCCGAUGAUGAUGUACUUGAAGUGCUUCUCCGCCAUGGAUGGAUCUGAGGAUGAUGAGAAAUG
rnacentral:misc_RNA from 1 species